GAGGAUUGGUGAGGAGCAUUGAGCCAUUACGUAACAGACAAACUGAUAACUUGCAGCGAUAGUGAGUCUUAUGUGACAGUGCUGUGCUUGGAGUCCUUAUGAUCACUGGUCACAUGAUGUCAUCCUGGUCUCUGGCUCAACAACACACUCAGCUCUGAAAGCAAGAACACAGCAAUACAAAGGUUGCGGAGAGCUGAUUAGAGAUCCACUGAUGGAAGGCAGCAACCAAAUUGAUUGCAUCACUUUCUACCAUCCAUCCCAUUGAUCUUGCUCUGGGCCACUGUCAGAUUUUGAUUUGUGAGGAACGUUUAACAUCAGGCCAUUAAAAAUAUGAAUAAUCUUUCAUGACUGACAAUGAGAAGUGGUCUGAGGCUGUUUUUCUGGUUGGGAAAGGAAUGUGUUUGCUACAGCGAGGUGAAGAAACAGCAAGAGCAGCAAGAAGACUUCUAACGGUGUGAGCUAGGAGGGGCCUGACAAGACUCACAAAGCACAGAAAAUUUGGUGGAUGUCAGAGCAAAGCAGGAGGCAGUGAUAAAGAGAUUGUGAAUCCUGAUGCUCAGUCAAAGGAUAAACUGUCAUCAAAAACAUUUCCGUUACUUCCUGGAGAACAUGAUUUGGAGGAGCCAGUAUUGGACUGGGAUGUACAACGUUA